GCGUAUAUUAAAGUUGUUGCAGUUAAAAAGCUCGUAGUUGGAUUUCGGAAGGUCCUUAGYAGUCCGCCCCUUCGGGGAGCGGGCUGCUGGCCUCCUAUGUUCCUAACGGUCCUCAUCCGCGAGGGUGGGGAAUCAACCGCUAGGAUCGUUUACUUUGAGGAAAUUAGAGUGUUCAAAGCAGGCGUAACUCGCCUCCGAAUACGUUAGCAUGGGAUAAUGGAAUACGACUUCGGUCUUGUUUCGUUGGUUUCGCUUGGCUGAAGUAAUGAUUGAUAGGGACAGUUGGGGGCAUUAGUAUUUAGUUGUCAGAGGUGAAAUUCUAGGAUUUACUAAAGACUGACCAAUGCGAAAGCAUUUGCCAAGGAUGUUUUCAUUAAUCAAGAACGAAAGUAGGGGGAUCGAAGACGAUCAGAUACCGUCGUAGUCUCUACCGUAAACUAUGCCGACCAGGGAUCCGGAGAGUUUGCAUGGAUGACUCCCCGGGCACCUUGUGAGAAAUCAUAAGUGUUUGGGUUUUGGGGGGAGUAUGGUCGCAAGGCUGAAACUUAAAGGAAUUGACGGAAGGGCACCACCAGGAGUGGAACCUGCGGCUUAAUUUGACUCAACACGGGGAAACUUACGAGGUCAGGACACUGUGAGGAUUGACAGAUUGAAAGCUCUUUCUUGAUUCAGUGGGUGGUGGUGCAUGGCCGUUCUUAGUUGGUGGAGUGAUUUGUCUGGUUAAUUCCGUUAACGAACGAGACCUUAACCUG
rnacentral:rRNA from 1 species